CUGUACCAAUAGGUCACAAAGACAACUAGGAGGAGAUUCCACUUUACACUGGUAAUCACUAAUGAAGACAUGGUUGUAAGAGUUGAAGUGAGGGAACAUUUGAGGAAGAAUGAUCAUUGUAUAAUUAGGUUUAAUUUUUGUUGGGAUAAAAAGAAAUAAAAUAUUUCUUCCUGAUUUUAAGAUAUUCAGUUUUGACACAAGUUUGAUCAUUAAUGGGUUGGAAUAAUGAGUUGAAAGGCAAUAUGGAGAAUUUUGAGUUAUAAAUUGCUUUUAAUUCAAGGUAUGCAUGCUCCUAAAAAGAAGAAAAGAAUAAUGGCAAAGCUGAAGCCUAAUUGGUUUACCAAAGACACAAAGAAGAAAACCAAGGAUAAAUGCUUACCAUAAAAUUUAGAGGUUUUAAUUGACAGAUCUGAAGAUUUACAAAACUAUGGAAAAGCUGGGGAUUUGGUUAAAAUUAGAAAGGACUUGAAAGAACCAACUGACUGAUGAUGUUAAAAUUAGAAAGGACUUGAAAGAACCAACUGACUGAUGAUGUUAAAAUUAGAAAGGACUUGAAAUAACCAGCUGACUGAUGAUGUUAAAAUUAGAAAGGACUUGAAAGAACCAGCUGACUGAUGAUGUUAAAAUUAGAAAGGACUUGAAAGAACCAGCUGACUGAUGAUGUUAAAAUUAGAAAGGACUUGAAAGAACCAGUUGACUGAUGAUGUUAAAAGACUUAAGUAAAUGAAGGGCUGGAUUUGCAUGUGCCUUUGCAAUAAUGUUGGGAAUGUGUAUCAUCUGUUUGUAUACUGCAUACAGAAUAGUCAAAAUGCCAGGGCUGGUUAGUGGUGCUUCAGAAGUACUUCUAGAAUUUUCUGAUGUAGCUCGACAUUUGUUGGGGCGUUGGGGAGAGUGGUGUAGUCUUUUAUUCUCCCUUCUCACACUUUUAGGCAGUGCUAUAGUUUAUUGGGUGCUCUUAACAAAUUUCACAUACUACACUGUUGUGUACAUCUAUGGUGAGUUUGAAGUCUGUGUAAAUAUAUACACUUGACAAAAUACCAGUUAUAUAUGUUUAAAAUAUAUACUGCUGCAUUUGAUAAAACAACUUAUUAUGGUCUCUUACAAAAUUAAGGAUUUCACAAGUGAAAUAUCUUUACUGUAAUUCAAUAUUAAAACUUAAUGUUUUCAUUUCAUUGUACAAGUAAUAAUGGAUUGAAUGAAUGAUGCUUUAUAGAAUGAAUUGAAACUUGAUUAUUGUUACGACAGCGGAAUUCACGUGAAACUGGUAACACGUAAUGAGUUCUAGAAAGAUCGGGGAACAUCACGAAUAAUCUGGUCUUUGCUAGGCACCCUCUAUUCUUGUAUAUAAGUGAGCCAGAUAAUGAAUUGGAAUAGAAUUUCAGAGAUAGAGACGGACAAUUGAGUCAAGCAUGGUAGUAAGUAAAGUGCAUGAAUCGUUCGUUGUGAAGGCUCGAGUGUUUACCAGACGCCCUCUAUUUCGUAUAUAUAAGACCGGCGAGAAGUG